AGGAAAUUGAAAACCACUUCAGUAUCUUUGUGAAGAAAACCCCAUUUGGGAUCACAAAGAAUCAGACAUGACUGAAACAACUGAACAAUAAUCACAAAAUAAAUAUGUAUGAUAAAGUCCCUUAGUAGUAGGGCAAGAAUUGGGAAAGAAAGAUUUUACUUUAUUGAGAAAGCAAUAAGAGUGUUCUGGAAGUUUUCAGGUAAAUUUCUGGGGGUUGAGAUUGUGUGAAUGAAUCUCAAAUGAGGAGAGUUUCUUGAGUGAUAAUAGCAGAGGGAGAAUGAGGAAGAGGCAAUGGAGAACAGAGAAUUCAAAUUCCAACACCUGGAACAGUCAGUCCAUGGGAAGACUAUGACUAAAAUUCCGAUCAUUGUUGGAAAGGGUCACCAGGGAGACUGUCAUUAGGCUGGAACCAGGUCUUAGUGAGUGACAGAAUAUGGAAAAUGUGAGAACGGAAAAGAUUUAAGAUGAAAUCUAGCUUUUUACACAUGGAGCAAAGAGCACAGAAGGAGUGGGCAGUUUUAAAGAAGGAUGUUGGGGUCGUCAUGAUGGGAAUAUAGAAUCACACAUUGUGAGACUUCAUAGGAACCUCAACAGCUAUAUAGUCCAAUUCACACCCAAACAGAAUCCCUACAACAGCACAUCCAGUUCAAGACUUCUCUCAGAAGGAAGAAAGGAGGAAGCCCACACUAAACAGCUCUUUUAUUUCCCACCCAGACUUUCUUAGUACCUUGGACAGGGGCUUAUUCAAAGUACAAAAUUGUUGAAUUGAAUUCAAAGAACUUGUUGAUAUCCACUCCAUUUCUGCUACCUAAUAGCUGAGUGACCUUGGUAUAGGUGAUUGGACACCAAACUUGAGAUGAAUGAAUUGAGGUUUGGAGGCAAAUUCCUCAGUACAUGAAUAAUGUUGGAGAUCAGACCCUUAUUUGGAGCUGACUGGCAGAAAAAGGAGUUUCUUCAUUGGAGCAGAUGCCUGCUGAGAAGGAGAUGGUUGCAAGUUCUGAUAUGGCCUCCCAAAGGGUAUUCCAAGCAAUGAAUUAUCAUAAAACAAUCUUGGCUGACCAC
rnacentral:lncRNA from 1 species